CCUAAUACAUGCAGUCGAGCGAAUGACGAAGAAGCUUGCUUCUUCUGAUUUAGCGGCGGACGGGUGAGUAACACGUGGGCAACCUGCCCUGUAGAUUGGGAUAACUCCGGGAAACCGGGGCUAAUACCGAAUAAUCCAUUUCCUCACAUGGGGAGAUGUUAAAAGACGGUCUCGGCUGUCACUACAGGAUGGGCCCGCGGCGCAUUAGCUAGUUGGUGAGGUAACGGCUCACCAAGGCGACGAUGCGUAGCCGACCUGAGAGGGUGAUCGGCCACACUGGGACUGAGACACGGCCCAGACUCCUACGGGAGGCAGCAGUAGGGAAUCUUCCACAAUGGACGAAAGUCUGAUGGAGCAAUGCCGCGUGAGUGAAGAAGGUUUUCGGAUCGUAAAACUCUGUUGUGAGGGAAGAACAAGUACGAGAGUAACUGCUCGUACCUUGACGGUACCUCAUUAGAAAGCCACGGCUAACUACGUGCCAGCAGCCGCGGUAAUACGUAGGUGGCAAGCGUUGUCCGGAAUUAUUGGGCGUAAAGCGCGCGCAGGCGGUCCUUUAAGUCUGAUGUGAAAUCCCACGGCUCAACCGUGG
rnacentral:rRNA from 1 species